rnacentral:rRNA from 1 species
UACGAAGGGGGCGAGCGUUGUUCGGAAUUACUGGGCGUAAAGGGCGCGCAGGCGGCCUUAGAAGUCAGAUGUGAAAGCCCCGGGCUCAACCUGGGAAUGGCAUUUGAUACUCUGAGGCUGGAGUACGGGAGAGGAGAGUGGAAUCCCAGUGUAGAGGUGAAAUUCGUAGAUAGUUGGGAAGAACACCGGUGGCGAAGGCGG